ACUAGACGCAUGUCUAGAGUUUAAAAGAUGGUUCUGCUAUCACUCUUGGAUGGACCUGCGGUGCAUUAGCUAGUUGGUAAGGUAACGGCUUACCAAGGCAAUGAUGCAUAGCCGAGUUGAGAGACUGAUCGGCCACAUUGGGACUGAGACACGGCCCAAACUCCUACGGGAGGCAGCAGUAGGGAAUCUUCCACAAUGGACGCAAGUCUGAUGGAGCAACGCCGCGUGAGUGAAGAAGGGUUUCGGCUCGUAAAGCUCUGUUGGUAGUGAAGAAAGAUAGAGGUAGUAACUGGCCUUUAUUUGACGGUAAUUACCUAGAAAGUCACGGCUAACUACGUGCCAGCAGCCGCGGUAAUACGUAGGUGGCAAGCGUUGUCCGGAUUUAUUGGGCGUAAAGCGAGUGCAGGCGGUUCAAUAAGUCUGAUGUGAAAGCCUUCGGCUCAACCGGAGAAUUGCAUCAGAAACUGUUGAACUUGAGUGCAGAAGAGGAGAGUGGAACUCCAUGUGUAGCGGUGGAAUGCGUAGAUAUAUGGAAGAACACCAGUGGCGAAGGCGGCUCUCUGGUCUGCAACUGACGCUGAGGCUCGAAAGCAUGGGUAGCGAACAGGAUUAGAUACCCUGGUAGUCCAUGCCGUAAACGAUGAGUGCUAAGUGUUGGGAGGUUUCCGCCUCUCAGUGCUGCAGCUAACG
rnacentral:rRNA from 1 species